AAUCGCUUCGGCGAUCCAUAAAUUAAAAUUGGAACGAUACAGACAAGAUUAGUGGGCCCCGUGAUAAGAUGACACGCAAUUUUGUGAAGCGUUCCACAUUUUU